rnacentral:misc_RNA from 1 species
UCUGAAACUGAUUCCAAGUUUUUAGUAUCACCAGUCGAAACGGAUUGCGACAGUUGAUUGACCACCUCAGGUGCAAGGUCUUGCAGUUUCAUCUUGCAUCCAAAUUGAAGUUCAGCAAAUUUUUUCAGAAGACUUCCAAUCAUAGAGGAGAGGUUGAAAAUUCCAGCUUCCACAAAGUCGUUUUCUUUCCUAUAUUUCCUCAUCAACAAAACCAGAAGAGACAACAAGCUCUGGUCACCAUAUUUACUCAAUGAAAAUUCCUCACUAGCUAGUGCUACAAUUGGAAUGACAUCAUCCCCAAAGCAACUAUGGUCACCAGAUCCUCCAUGCAUAUAACAAAUAUCUAAUGCCAGAG